rnacentral:tmRNA from 1 species
GGGGUAGACAUGGAUUUGACAGCAUGAAGAACAGGUAUGUAAGCACGUCGGGAGUGGUGAGGCCGGCCCGUUAAUCCCGGACACGAACAAUUAAUUGGCGAAACAAAGUACGCUCUCGCUGCCUAAUCGAAUCACAGUAGAACAGGCUUAAUCCCCGCUCGGCGAGUGGGGACGAGACAUUCCACCGGAGGUCCCGCCUUGUGCCAUCCGGGUUCGGGGUGCAGCAAAGACGAGGCUAGCGCGCGGCACGCCCCGCGACACGCGCGAAAUUUCAGGGGCUAAGACGCGAGUUGGGUGCUUUUCCCCGUGUCGCGUUCGAAAACCAACGAGAAGAUAAGCGUGUAGAAAGCAUAUCGAUUCCAUGUUUGGACCGGGGUUCGAUUCCCCGCUACUCCACAG